rfam:Hepatitis C virus isolate NE274, complete genome
UUGGCCUCUUUAUGGCAAUGAGGGCUGYGGGUGGGCAGGAUGGCUCUUGUCCCCCCGCGGCUCUCGGCCAUCUUGGGGCCC